rnacentral:tRNA from 1 species
GCCGAAGUGGCGGAAUUGGUAGACGCGCACGACUCAAAAUCGUGUAGGAGCAAUCCUGUGAGGGUUCGAUUCCCUCCUUCGGCA